CAGGACUCCAGACUGAAGGAAGUUACAACCAAACAGAACCUGUCAGGUUGGUGGGAGGAGACAGUCGCUGUGCAGGAGUACUGGAGCUGAAACAUGGAGGAGAAUGGAGACCAGUCAGUUAUGAUUACACUGACAGGACCCUGAAGGAAGCAGCUUUUGUCUGCAGAUAUCUGGACUGUGGUUCUGUUGUUUCUGUAAGAAUAGAGGAGUCCACAGAGAGAUAUGUGUGGUGGAUCAGCUCUGACUGUGUUCAGUCUGGAUCUCUGACAGAGUGUACAGAAUCAACUUCAUCUUUCUCCAUCUAUAAAGUCAACUGCUCAGACUCUGUCAGGCUGGUGAAUGGGACCAGUCUGUGCUCAGGCAGACUGGAGCUGAAGUCUGACCAGUCUAACCAGAGCUGGUCCUCAGUGUGUGAAGAUGACUUUGACCAGCAGG